rnacentral:piRNA from 1 species
UAUCAGGGCUCUCGAAUUUAUCCAUCCUC